GCUGCCAGACAAGCAGACAGGCAGGCAGCCUCCUCGCUACAACCAGCACUACUCUCACCGCCGCAGUCACAGCAGCGUCUCAUGCCUUCACCUGCUCCGGGAGAGACAGCAGUCCAUCUGUCAGUCCGUCCGUGCAGCCGAGCAGCCGGGGAGGUGGAAGCCUGAAGCGUUCAGAUGAAGAUGCUGGAAAACGGGAGGAAGGUGUUCAAGGAGGGUCUGCUGGAGAAGCGGAGCGACGGGCUGCUGCAGCUCUGGAAGAAGAAGCACUGCGUCCUGACCGAGGACGGCGUGCUGCUGCUGCCUCCCAAGCAGCACGACCAGCCGCAGCACCACCAGCCGCACCACGGCGGCGGGGACGCGGGCAAAGUCAAGGAGCUGCACUUCGCCAACAUGAAGACGGUGGACUGCGUGGAGCGGAAGGGCAAGUACGUGUACUUCACGGUGGUGAUGACCGAGGGGAAGGAGAUCGACUUCAGGUGCCCGCAGGACGAGGGCUGGAACGCGGAGAUCACCUUGCAGAUGGUCCAGUACAAGAACCGGCAGGCGAUCCUGGCCGUCAAGUCCACCCGGCAGAAGCAGCAGCUGCUGGUCGUGCAGAUGCCCGGCCAGAAGACCGUCCGCAGCUCGCCUAAUGUUGCGUGACCUGCGGCGUGUCCCGCGGACAUUGUUGCGCCAUUAGCGGUAAGACAGCUAAAGAGAACGCGAGAUUGAGGGGGGCUCCCCAGGUCCGGGGACCACCUGGGGAUCCCCUUGCAAAUUAAGGACCCGUUUUUCGGUUUUGUUUUAUUCCCUGGAUAUGUGUGCCACGAACGAGGACGUCUGGUUUCAUCAUAGGUUAAUUGGACACUCAGCUGGAGGAUUAUUAUCUCCCCCUGCCACUUCAGCGCCAAGCUCCACUCUCCAGGAGAACCCCUCAUCCAUGUAGUGGUUUCCACACACCAGUGGCCCCUGUCCCCUUUUCAAUACAGAGACUUAUUUCACAAAAGACUGAUCAACAAAAAGCAUGUGAGAAAACAGGUGUAUUCUACCGUGCGAUGGGUUUAUCCCUUAUUUAUUAUAUGUGUAUAUAUAUUUUCUAUGAAAAAUGUUAUGAUGUUGAUGAAUGUUCAGUGUGGUUGUUGCUAGAGAGGAACCAGAAAUACUCGCUUGGAGGUUCAUAGCCCACGUUACACACAAAGUCCUUUGGGAAUAUGCUUACAUAGUUAUCUUAGGAUGGUUGCUGUAGAUUAGUCAAAUCAGUUCUUUAUUGGUAAAAUGUGUCAUUGUCCAUGUUUUCGUUUUUCAACUGAACCAAAGAAUCAUUUCUCUCUCUAGUGCAGUGUUACAACUCAGAAUAUACUAUACUAAAAUACUAUAGAUAUAUGAUGAGAUACCUGCAUGACCUAUAUCUAAUUUGUUUGAUAGCUUUUAUUAUUAGCUACAGUACAUCUUCGUAUUUUCAUUGUAUACAAGAAUCAUUUCCAUCAUUUUAUUUGACUGCUUUUAUCGAUACAAAAGCUAUCCUUUGUUUUCUUCUGAGUCUUAAAUCUGAGUAAGAUACUAGCUUUCCACGCAGUUUGUUUUCAGUGGUUACAGAGACAAGCUUAUUCAUUUAAUAAGUCAGUAACAUGCACAGUGGAGGUUUGUGAAAUUGAUAAUUCUCAGGAGCUGAACUGCUCUAAACACAAUUUAAUUGGUUGCAUUCAAUCUUAGUGGGUGGGGACAAAUUACCACUGUUCUGGCUUGGUAAGUUCUGUCUGAGACUAAAAAGGAAACAAAUGCUUCUUCAAUUUGAUAACCAAAAACAAGGAGGAAAAGUACAUUUGACAUUUUCAAAUCUGUGGAAAUUCAGAGGCUUCCUCUGUGUUCAAACGUCUUGGUCAUAACAGGAGAAGCUAUUGUAGCUUGUCAGCUGUCAAACCAUCCAUCUACUUUUAUUUGGCCCUCCACCUGCUCCACAAAAGAGGCACGUUUGUAGACAACUAUGACAGGAGUCAAUGGUUUAAUUAGGUCUAUUGAAUAAACUGUGUAACUUAUUGCCCUGUUAGAGAUUGUGCCAACUAGCUUCCGUACUGUCAGUUAGCAAGCUAGCUAGCUUGUCAGUAACAAAAGAUCUAUUAUGACUGACCAGUACCAGCAUGUUCCCUAUAAAAUGUACUUGUUUUAAAGACAUUUUGUGGUGUACUGGAGAAAGACUUCCUGGUCCAACGUGUGUCACAUGACCUACAGUUAACUGGGCCACUCAGCUAAAAUCACAUGUCAACGUAGUGCUGCUACAAGGUCCUGUUAUUGCUCUCAAGGUUUGAAAGCUGUCAUGUGUAAGAUUAUCUUCUCCAAUCGUUGCUCGUUGUCCUUGGCUACAAAAUUGUGACAGAUUUUGUAUACAAAAUAAACCCGUUUGAAGCUAGUUAGCUAGCUGCUGACUUUCCAGUAUCACAAAUGUUUUUGAAAUGUCCUUGGCAAUGCAAGCUUACCAACUAGCUAAAUUAAGCUAAAACAGACUCUUAGAAACUCUUUUUCCCACCAGCUUUCUGCCAACUCUGCCUCUGAUUGGCAAGUACUUGUUGCCUUCGUUGGUUAAGUUGGUUAGGGGAAAGGGGUUAGCCAAUCAGAGACAGCGUAUGGGACAUGACUUGACCAUUGACUGUAUUAAAGUGGACGUAGUCAUCGUGACGUCACUUAUCGGUUUGUGGACUGACGUUUUGAAGCCUAGAUUUUGGCAUUAUGGCCGUCACCAUAUUAAUUUUUUGCAACCAGCGGCAUCGGACAUAACCAUAUAUGGACAAUUCUGAGCUAGCCACCUUGGUUAGCAAGGUGCAUCUGUAAUUCACGUUGUCUGUGAUUUGAUGCAAAUUUUGGCUAUUGAAAAACAGGCUAAAAAUGUAGGCCUGCUCACCAGAGAAAAUAAACCGCCGACUCUUAAUAAGCUUUUUCAAUGGCGCUGGUUAAAUGUAAAUAGUGCAGCGGAUACGAGUCACUUUAGCCUGAUUUACAGGUCGCCAUGGUAGCUACUUGUCAAUCAAAAGGUAGUCCCGUCCAAAGCAUCCCCUACUUUAUAGUCUAUUUUCUCUCUAAAUGGGAGCAUAUUUACUAAAUGAACAUCAUACUUUAUUGAAGAUGACUUGAUAACAGCGACUAAACUAUAAACUCAUUAUGAAAAUGUUUAUUAAGGUAAUAAAACAAGUGGGAAGUAGGGGCAUUUUACCAUUAUUUCUAAUGGAACCAGACUUCUUUUUGCAACCAGUGGAGUGACCCCCUGCUGGCUGUUAGAGAGAAUGCAGGUUUUAGGACUUCCGCAUUGGCUACACUUUUCGGACCCGGACGUUCCCCCUUGGGCUUGACAAAAAAAUGGCAGGAGUUGUUAGAAAAAAAUGACACAUUUGUCUCCACCCACUUUACCACAGCCAAUCAUAUUAUUUCUGUCUCUAUAGCAGGUCUGCCCCCCAGAGAAAUGUUCAUAAAACUAUAUCUCUAGUCUGCAGUUUUAAUACUGCAAGGCAUGCAAUGUUUUUCAUGACAAAAAGAACAGACUGAACAGUGUGAUUGUUUUGAAAGUUCUAAAGAUGGCGAUACACAGGGAAACAUCACGUGUUAAUGUGUCAACUAACGGUCUCUGAAAUAGCUUUUUUUCAUGAUAGAGGGAUGUCUUGCCGUCACAAAACAUUUUAUUUCACUAUGGCCCAUGCUGUUUCCUGUUUGCUGGAAGUGUUUCCCUCUGCACCCCCCUCUUGCCAGUGUUUCACCGCUGAACCAACACAUGCCUCCUUGUUGUUGUCAUCUCCCACACAGGGUAAUAGCUGUGCCCUUUAUCUAAUGCGACGGGUGUGAUGCUUCUCUGACAUGCCUUCCUGUUGCCAUCAUUAUACACAGUUAUAGCUGUGCCCUUUGUAGCCACUGUCCAAUUUCUUAUUUCAACGUGAGAUCUAUUUUCAUACUUUGAAAAGAUACAUUCCAUUAAAGAAAACAAAAACAGCA